rnacentral:rRNA from 1 species
AUACGGAAGGUCCGGGCGUUAUCCGGAUUUAUUGGGUUUAAAGGGAGCGCAGGCGGAGAUGCAAGCGUGACGUCAAAUUUCGGGGCUCAACCCCGUCUCGCGUCGCGAACUGCGUCCCUUGGUUGCGGGAAGGGGAGGCGGAACUCGUGGUGUAGCGGUGAAAUGCCUAGAUAACACGAAGAACUCCGAUCGCGAAGUCAGCCUUCCGGCCCGUCAACGACGCUCAUGCUCGAAGGUGCGGGUAUCAAACAGGAUUAGAUACCCUGGUAGUCCGCACAGUAAACGAUGGACACCCGCGGUUUGGCCUGUAUGGCUGAGCCGCCAAGCGAAAGCGUUAAGUGUCCCACCUGGGGAGUACGCCGGCAACGGUGAAACUCAAAUGAAUCGACGGGG